rnacentral:tRNA from 2 species
AAAUAUGAAGUAAAUUUUACAAUUUAAUUUCGACUUAAAUUUUUGGUUAAACUUAAAACCCAUAUUUU